GGGAAGGGACCCUGGUGACCUCGCCUCCCAGCCCUCACCCCCGUCACCCCUUUCUUCUCUUUCCUGGAGGACUUUGGACCAUGGAGAUUCUGCAGUUGUUGCUCUAGGAGCUGAAACCAGUGGGUAGAUGUCGUUCUGAAACGCAGCACCCUUUUAGCUCUCACCACUGCUGUUUCCCAAGUUGUCACAGCUGAAGCGCACUGAUUGGAAGUUGCUUUGUACUGACUGAGUU
rnacentral:lncRNA from 1 species